UACGGGGGAUGCAAGCGUUAUCCGGAUUUAUUGGGCGUAAAGCGAGCGCAGGUGGUUUAUUAAGUCUGGUGUAAAAGGCAGUGGCUCAACCAUUGUAUGCAUUGGAAACUGGUAGACUUGAGUGCAGGAGAGGAGAGUGGAAUUCCAUGUGUAGCGGUGAAAUGCGUAGAUAUAUGGAGGAACACCGGUGGCGAAAGCGGCUCUCUGGCCUGUAACUGAUACUGAGGCUCGAAAGCGUGGGGAGCAAACAGG
rnacentral:rRNA from 1 species